UUAUUGGAGAGUUUGAUCCUGGCUCAGGACGAACGCUGGCAGCGUGCCUAUACAUGCAAGUCGAGCAGGCCUUGUGUUUCCUUCGGAGACGCCAGGUUAGCGGCGGACGAGGUGAGUAACACGUGACAACCUGCCUGUAAGACCGGGAUAACUUGCGGAAACGUGAGCUAAUACCGGAUGGCUGGUUUCUUCGCAUGAAGAAGUCAUGAAAGACAGGGCAACCUGUCACUUACAGAUGGGCCUGCGGCGCAUUAGCUAGUUGGUAGGGUAACGGCUUACCAAGGCGACGAUGCGUAGCCGACCUGAGGUAGGCAGCACACUGGGACUGAGACACGGCCCAGACUCCUACGGGAGGCAGCAGUAGGGAAUCUUCGUGGACGAAGAGUCUGACGGAGCAACGCCGCGUGGUGAUGAAGGUUUUCGGAUCGUAAGCUCUGUUGCCAAGGAAGAACGUGGGGAGUAACUGCCCCUGGAGUGACAGUACUUGAGGAAAAGCUGGCUAACUACGUGCCAGCGGCCUUGAUAAAGCGGGGGGCAAUACGUUGUCGAGAUUAUUAUGGGCGUAAAGCGCGCGCAGGCGGUCUUUUAAGUCUGGUGUUUAAGCCCGGGGCUCAACCCGGUUCGCACUGGAAACUGGGAGACUUAGUGUAGGAGAGGAAAGUGGAAUUCCACGUGUAGCGGUGAAAUGCGUAGAGAUGUGGAGGAACACCAGUGGCGAAGGCGGCUUUCUGGCCUAUAACUGACGCUGAGAGCGCGAAAGCGUGGGGAGCAAACGGGAUUAGAUACCCUGGUAGUCCACGCCGUAAACGAUGAUAUAGGUGUUAGGGGUUUCGAUACCCUUGGUGCCGAGUUAACACAGUAAGCAUUCCGCCUGAUUACGGUCGCAAGACUGAAACUCAAAGGAAUUGACACGGGGACCCACAAGCAGUGGAGUAUGUGGUUUAAUUCAAAACAGCACUUGAAAAAGAACCUUAAUUGACAUCCCUCUGACCGGUUUAGAGAUAGACCUUUUCAGCCUACGAGGACAGAGGAGACAGGUGGGGUGCAUGGUUGGCCGUCAGCUCGUGUCGUGAGAUGUUGGGUUAAGUCCGCAACGAGCGCAACCCUUGAUCUUAGUUGCCAGCACAAGAGGUGGGCACUCUAAGAUGACUGCCGGUGACAAACCGGAGGAAGGUGGGGAUGACGUCAAAUCAUCAUGCCCCUUAUGGCCUGGGCUACGUACUACAAUGGUCGGUACAACGGGAAGCGAAGGAGCGAUCCGGGCCAAUCCUCAAGAAGCCGAUCUCAGUUCGGAUUGCAGGCUGCAACUCGCCAUGAAGUCAGGUGCCUAGUAAUCGCGAGAUCAGCAUGCGGUGAAUACGUUCCCGGGUCUUGUACACACCGCCCGUCACACCACGAGAGUUUACAACACCCGAAGUCGGUGGGAAGUGACCCGCAGGGCGGCCGCCGCCGAAGGUGGGGUAGAUGAUUGGGGUGAAGUCGUAACAAGGUAGCCGUAUCCGGAGGAAGGUGCGGCUGGAUCACCUCCUUU
rnacentral:rRNA from 1 species